rnacentral:rRNA from 1 species
UACGAAGGGGGCUAGCGUUGUUCGGAAUUACUGGGCGUAAAGCGCACGUAGGCGGAUACUUAAGUUAGGGGUGAAAUCCCAGGGCUCAGCCCUGGAACUGCCUUUAAUACUGGGUAUCUUGAGUUCGAGAGAGGUGAGUGGAAUUCCGAGUGUAGAGGUGAAAUUCGUAGAUAUUCGGAGGAACACCAGUGGCGAAGGCGGCUCACUGGCUCGAUACUGACGCUGAGGUGCGAAAGCGUGGGGAGCAAACAGG